GCCGAGGCUAGAGUCAAAUCGUGGCACUUUGCCAUGUUGCCCUGAUGUGCUACAGCUACUCGGAUAGUGACGUCUGAGUCUAUUCACUGCCUGAACCUUUGUGGUGCACUCAGUCACAAGCUCUGAUACAUGA